rnacentral:rRNA from 2 species
AACCUGUACUAAUUGCCCGUGAGGCUUAACCAUACAACACCCAAAGGGUUUUG